UUCUCUGCAGACAUUCAAACCCACCUGGACACCUUCCUGUGUAACCUCAUCUGGGUGUUCCUGCUCCAGCAGGGGGAUUGGACUGGAUGAGCUUUCCAGGUCCCUUCCAGUCUCUAACAUUCUGGGAUUCUGAGCAAACUGACCUAAGUUGGCCCUACUUUGUGGCAAGAGAUGCACAAGAGGCCUCCAGACAUCCCUUCUGACCUAAACAACUCUGUGAUUCUGUAACUUAAAAGCUUGUUUCUGAACAACCUGGCCAGGCUCCAGUGAGCUGUUGUCUGCUCUUGAAAGUGUUGCCUACUUGGCCAGAAAGCUCUCCAGGUUAGGGACUAUUUCCCCGUGCAUGUAUGAGUGGCUGCUUUUCUCAGCCACAUCCUCAAGGCCUUGCCUCAAUAAUAAUAAUAAAAUGAAAGGGAAGAACACUCUGUUUAUCACUUCUCAUCUUGUCGGGCAUUGGAACAGGCUGCCCGGGGAAAUGGCUGAAUCAUAGUCCCUAGAGGUGUUUAAAAGAUGUGUAGAUGAGGUUCUUAGGGACAUGGUUUAGUGCCAGUGUUGAGUUAAUGGUUGAACUCGAAGAUCUUGAAGGUCUUUUCCAACCAAAAUGAUUCUGUGAUUCUAUAUGACCCUUUUUUUUUUUUUUUUUACAGCAGACUCUAGUGUUUCAAGAUUUCAGGGUGAUGAAAACAAGUCCAAUACAUGCCGAACAUGGACCUCCAUGCGCGCACAUGAGAUUCCAGCCUUCGUCACUCUGCAAUGGCACACAUGGCAGUGCUUGCAAAUGAUGGGCAGUGCAAAAUCUGAACCAUUUGAAAAUAUAUCUCCAAACCACCCCAAACUGACUGAGGCCACCAGCAAAAUUACAGGUUUUUAUGCUGCCACGUAUUUUUCAAAGAGGAAACCCAGCUCAGACCCAAGAGGAACCCAGGUUCAGACCCCCAGCUCUGCAACACUGCUUAAGAGCAACGUUGCCUCUUGAGGAGUGGAGGAUGGACAGCUGUCCUGCUGUCCUGGUCACCAUCCAGACUUCUCUUAUGAGAUUACAUGCUUCUUUAUAUCCCCAUAGGGAUUAGGCUGCUAUGGAAUGUAAGGAAGUGUGUGGUUUCAGGGAGACAUCGCCAGUGUUCUCUGCUUCCAGCUACUGCAAGACAAAUGCUUUUCUGUAAUUGCAUUUUACUGGAAUUUGACUUUGUCAAAUGCAGUCAGGCAGGUUAUAUUCAGUCUACAGUGGCCUCGGUGCCCACGGAAACCACAUAAGGAUCUGCAAGUCUAAAAAGGAUGCAAACUCCUGGAUCCAUGCAAAUUUGAUAACAAAGAUGUACUCCGCAUAUAUUUCUCCAGAAAAAUCACCCAUCUGAUUAUAAGCUCCACCUAAACAAAAGUUUAUUUACACUGUCCUGAAAAUGGUUUUCAAGGGCAUUCUGAAAAUCACUACAUCGCAGAUAGCCUCAAUUAUUGUCAUCCAUUCUGCGUUGGUGGAAAACGCUUCUGAUUUAGUGACAUGGAGAAAGAAGUAAACAGCACUGGGCAGGAACGGCUUGCAAAGAGCAAGACUGAAUGUGAUCUAGAUCUCAUAUCAGUUGCAAAACUCUCCUCUUUACUCACAGUAAAGUGCAAUGAAGCCAAGCAACUUAUGUGGUCAGGAGCUAUGCUCUGCUCUGGCUGGUCAAACGGAACCAAGCCCAUCUUCCUCGGAGGUUUGGUCCCCUUCAACCAGCUAUAGCAGUGUUGAAAACAUCAAGCCAGGAAGAUGUGCCUCCCUACACCUCAGCUCUACCCCAUCCAUUCCUCCUGGAGCGAUCUGCUGCCCCUCUGAACAUCUCCAGAGGAUCAUCUGAGGACGAACCACCUGAAAAGGUUUGAAAUAUGUUUUUGGUUUUAAUAAGCAUCACUGUAAGGGUGCUUGCCCUUGCAAGGACACGUACGUGUGCCUACUCCAGCAUUACGACAGGCCCAAAAUGUAGCAUACAAGGCUUGCUGGCUCUGUAGUAUUCAGCAGGUUUCUAAGUCAAUGUGGAUCUGCAGGGCCUUGACAUACAAUCUUUUUUGUUUCCCUUCCCUACCAAAUGUCUAUCCACACACCCCCUUUGCUGAGCAUUGCCAGUCCCAGUAAUUUGUAUUUAAUUUUUUUUUAAAAGUGAUCAAGAACAAGAAUAACAUUUCAUUGAAAGCACACUGUGUCAACGUGUCUUUUUAAUUAUUUUUUAAUGCAAAAAGGUGCUACAAAUAACCAUGUUCUACAGGGUGAAGGUUAGCCCAUAGCCACUUAGCCCACAACACACACACAUCACUUCAUACAUCUUCGUGCAAGGUAUCUUCUGAAUCUUCCCAUCCACACCACACUGCAGCAAAUGAAGAAAACCAGCCAAAUAAUUUGAACAUGGCUUUGCUGACAGGCCCUGACCUGUUUCCUGAGCCAGUCAAUGAAUUUAGAUGCCUAACUUUAGACAUACACCUCAGCAAGUUGUUCUCUGUCCCCGCCUGAGCAAAAAGAAGUGCAAAGCUAUCAAUAAAUAAAUGAACAAACAUAUAUCAAUGUAAGUUCAUUAUGUUCACUAUCUGGGAUGCCCUGAUAUUUUGCUGGAUGGAUGGGGUGGAGAAUGUUGUGCAGAACAUCAGUGGAAUGGAUGCUGUACAGAACAAGGACCAGCAUCAGUGUGUCCCGAUCAAUGUGUCUUCUACAGGACAGUGAUGCUCCAUGGAGUGUCACAUGCUCCCCAUCCCUGCAUUUUCACUAUGGAGAUGCACUGGGGCACAACUUCAUUUUUGCCAGGUCUCCAUGGACAACGUUCUUUGGAAGAUGCAGACACACAGGUUGACAGCACACAAAGUGCCAGUCUGGCCAGGAUCUGUGUGACAGACAGAACAAAGGACACCAGCUAUUAGGUCCCCAUCUCAUGUCAUUGGGGUUUUCUAAAAGACAAGUAACAUGGGUUUGCUGGCACUACUGAAUCUAAAAGGUGCAGUAAAUUCAGGUCAAAAAACAAAUUUUUCCAAUAUACUCAAGUUUUUCUCUCAUGCCAAAUACACAACUCGUAAUGAACAAGGACUGUGUCAUCACUGACAGCUCAUGGAUCUUAACCACCGCAUGAGCAGAGAUGCCACAUGUCAGAGUCCUAAAUCCCCAGAGGUCUCUUAGUACUUCAGGCAAAAUGCUCCCAGUUUGAAACAGCUCCUGGAGAUGAGUCAAAAGGGGAUUUCUUUUUAACAUCUCAUAUCUUCACUGCAUCUCCACUCUACACAGCUUGGGUUUUCUCAGCCUCAGCACUGCCCUGCAGCAACACCACAUCUAUGCAAGGUCCACCUGCAUGGUACAGCACUGGGGUUUGCAGCGAGAGCAUCCUAACACAGUGGGCAAAGAGAACAUUAAGAUACACAAUCCUCAGCUUUUCUGGCUCCCUUUUUCGUGGCAGGAAAUGUUGUCUGGAAAUACGGUCCAACAAAAAUAAAAACCAGCCCGAACUGAAGAUCCAACAGUUCCAGCAUGGUACUUAGGAGCUGUAUCUCUGCUAGAGAAAUCACAGAAUCCCAAAAUGUCAUGGGUUGAAAGGGACAUGGAAAGCUCAUUCAGUGCAAUCCCCCCGUCGGAGCAGGAACACCCAGAUGAGGUUACACAGGAAGGUGUCCAGGUGGGCUGGAAUGUCUGCACAGAAGGAGACUCCACAACCCCCCUGGGCAGCCUGGGCCAGGCUCUGACACCCUCACCGGAAAGAAAUUUCUUCUCAUA